AGAUGGCAUGCCCGUGGAUGUAGCUCAAUAUUGAGAGGUUGAACCACAUAAAUGUUAGUGUUUUGUGUGUUUAUUUUGUUUCUUUGCAGUUUAUACGCUUCCACGAUGUACAACACAAAUGCUUAAGGGAGGUUCAACCAUCUAUAAUUGUAGCAUAUUUGGCCAAAAUAAAGAAAACAGAUAUACAACAUAAAUAAAUGAAUUACCUUAUCAGGAGUAGAGGCACCA
rnacentral:misc_RNA from 1 species